rnacentral:rRNA from 3 species
GGUUAAGCGACUAAGCGUACACGGUGGAUGCCCUGGCAGUCAGAGGCGAUGAAGGACGUGCUAAUCUGCGAUAAGCGCCGGUAAGGUGAUAUGAACCGUUAUAACCGGCGAUUUCCGAAUGGGGAAACCCAGUGUGAUUCGUCACACUAUCAUUAACUGAAUCCAUAGGUUAAUGAGGCGAACCGGGGGAACUGAAACAUCUAAGUACCCCGAGGAAAAGAAAUCAACCGAGAUUCCCCCAGUAGCGGCGAGCGAACGGGGAGGAGCCCAGAGCCUGAAUCAGCAUGUGUGUUAGUGGAAGCGUCUGGAAAGGCGCGCGAUACAGGGUGACAGCCCCGUACACAAAAGCGCAUGUGCUGUGAGCUCGAUGAGUAGGGCGGGACACGUGGUAUCCUGUCUGAAUAUGGGGGGACCAUCCUCCAAGGCUAAAUACUCCUGACUGACCGAUAGUGAACCAGUACCGUGAGGGAAAGGCGAAAAGAACCCCGGCGAGGGGAGUGAAAAAGAACCUGAAACCGUGUACGUACAAGCAGUGGGAGCACCCUUCGGGGUGUGACUGCGUACCUUUUGUAUAAUGGGUCAGCGACUUAUAUUCUGUAGCAAGGUUAACCGUAUAGGGGAGCCGGAGGGAAACCGAGUCUUAAUUGGGCGUUAAGUUGCAGGGUAUAGACCCGAAACCCGGUGAUCUAGCCAUGGGCAGGUUGAAGGUUGGGUAACACUAACUGGAGGACCGAACCGACUAAUGUUGAAAAAUUAGCGGAUGACCUGUGGCUGGGGGUGAAAGGCCAAUCAAACCGGGAGAUAGCUGGUUCUCCCCGAAAGCUAUUUAGGUAGCGCCUCGUGAAUUCAUCUCCGGGGGUAGAGCACUGUUUCGGCUAGGGGGCCAUCCCGGCUUACCAACCCGAUGCAAACUGCGAAUACCGGAGAAUGUUAUCACGGGAGACACACGGCGGGUGCUAACGUCCGUCGUGAAGAGGGAAACAACCCAGACCGCCAGCUAAGGUCCCAAAGUCAUGGUUAAGUGGGAAACGAUGUGGGAAGGCCCAGACAGCCAGGAUGUUGGCUUAGAAGCAGCCAUCAUUUAAAGAAAGCGUAAUAGCUCACUGGUCGAGUCGGCCUGCGCGGAAGAUGUAACGGGGCUAAACCAUGCACCGAAGCUGCGGCAGCGAACGUAUCACCCAAGACAACUUUACGGAGUUGACGAUUGACGGAGCGAAGCGACGUCAAAGCGUUCAUUAAAGUCGAGUUGGCUUAGGGAUACGUUCGUUGGGUAGGGGAGCGUUCUGUAAGCCUGUGAAGGUGUGUCGUGAGGCAUGCUGGAGGUAUCAGAAGUGCGAAUGCUGACAUAAGUAACGAUAAAGCGGGUGAAAAGCCCGCUCGCCGGAAGACCAAGGGUUCCUGUCCAACGUUAAUCGGGGCAGGGUGAGUCGACCCCUAAGGCGAGGCCGAAAGGCGUAGUCGAUGGGAAACGGGUUAAUAUUCCCGUACUUGGUGUUACUGCGAAGGGGGGACGGAGAAGGCUAUGUUGGCCGGGCGACGGUUGUCCCGGUUUAAGCGUGUAGGUGUGUGUUCCAGGUAAAUCCGGUUCACUUUAACACUGAGGCGUGACGACGAGGCACUACGGUGCUGAAGCAACAAAUGCCCUGCUUCCAGGAAAAGCCUCUAAGCAUCAGGUAACACGAAAUCGUACCCCAAACCGACACAGGUGGUCAGGUAGAGAAUACCAAGGCGCUUGAGAGAACUCGGGUGAAGGAACUAGGCAAAAUGGUGCCGUAACUUCGGGAGAAGGCACGCUGACACGUAGGUGAAGUGAUUUACUCAUGGAGCUGAAGUCAGUCGAAGAUACCAGCUGGCUGCAACUGUUUAUUAAAAACACAGCACUGUGCAAACACGAAAGUGGACGUAUACGGUGUGACGCCUGCCCGGUGCCGGAAGGUUAAUUGAUGGGGUCAGCGCAAGCGAAGCUCCUGAUCGAAGCCCCGGUAAACGGCGGCCGUAACUAUAACGGUCCUAAGGUAGCGAAAUUCCUUGUCGGGUAAGUUCCGACCUGCACGAAUGGCGUAAUGAUGGCCAGGCUGUCUCCACCCGAGACUCAGUGAAAUUGAACUCGCUGUGAAGAUGCAGUGUACCCGCGGCAAGACGGAAAGACCCCGUGAACCUUUACUAUAGCUUGACACUGAACAUUGAGCCUUGAUGUGUAGGAUAGGUGGGAGGCUUUGAAGUGUGGACGCCAGUCUGCAUGGAGCCGACCUUGAAAUACCACCCUUUAAUGUUUGAUGUUCUAACGUGGACCCGUAAUCCGGGUUGCGGACAGUGUCUGGUGGGUAGUUUGACUGGGGCGGUCUCCUCCUAAAGAGUAACGGAGGAGCACGAAGGUUGGCUAAUCCUGGUCGGACAUCAGGAGGUUAGUGCAAUGGCAUAAGCCAGCUUGACUGCGAGCGUGACGGCGCGAGCAGGUGCGAAAGCAGGUCAUAGUGAUCCGGUGGUUCUGAAUGGAAGGGCCAUCGCUCAACGGAUAAAAGGUACUCCGGGGAUAACAGGCUGAUACCGCCCAAGAGUUCAUAUCGACGGCGGUGUUUGGCACCUCGAUGUCGGCUCAUCACAUCCUGGGGCUGAAGUAGGUCCCAAGGGUAUGGCUGUUCGCCAUUUAAAGUGGUACGCGAGCUGGGUUUAGAACGUCGUGAGACAGUUCGGUCCCUAUCUGCCGUGGGCGCUGGAGAACUGAGGGGGGCUGCUCCUAGUACGAGAGGACCGGAGUGGACGCAUCACUGGUGUUCGGGUUGUCAUGCCAAUGGCACUGCCCGGUAGCUAAAUGCGGAAGAGAUAAGUGCUGAAAGCAUCUAAGCACGAAACUUGCCCCGAGAUGAGUUCUCCCUGAGACUUAGAGUCUCCUGAAGGAACGUUGAAGACGACGACGUUGAUAGGCCGGGUGUGUAAGCGCAGCGAUGCGUUGAGCUAACCGGUACUAAUGAACCGUGAGGCUUAACCUU